rnacentral:rRNA from 1 species
AGAGUUUGAUCCUGGCUCAGGAUGAACGCUGGCGGCGUGCCUAACACAUGCAAGUCGAACGGAACUUUAACGGAACAAGGCUUCGGCCAAGUGAAAUUAAAGUUUAGUGGCGGACGGGUGAGUAACGCGUGAGUAACCUGCCUUUCACAGGGGGAUAACGUUUGGAAACGAACGCUAAUACCGCAUAACACAGCAGAGUCGCAUGGCUCAGCUAUCAAAGAUUUUAUCGGUGAAAGAUGGACUCGCGUCCGAUUAGGUAGUAGGCGGGGUAACGGCCCACCUAGCCUUCGAUCGGUAGGGGUUCUGAGAGGAAGGUCCCCCACAUUGGAACUGAGACACGGUCCAAACUCCUACGGGAGGCAGCAGUGAGGAAUAUUGGUCAAUGGGGGAAACCCUGAUGCAGCAACGCCGCGUGAGUGAUGAAGGUCUUCGGAUUGUAAAGCUCUGUCUUUAGGGACGAUAAUGACGGUACCUAAGGAGGAAGCCACGGCUAACUACGUGCCAGCAGCCGCGGUAAUACGUAGGUGGCAAGCGUUAUCCGGAAUUAUUGGGCGUAAAGAGUGCGUAGGUGGUUAUCUAAGCGUAAGGUUUAAGCGUGCAGCCCAACUGCAUCUCGCCUUGCGAACUGGACUACUUGAGUGCAGGAGGGGAAAGCGGAAUUCCUAGUGUAGCGGUGAAAUGCGUAGAUAUUAGGAGGAACACCAGCGGCGAAGGCGGCUUUCUGGACUGUAACUGACACUGAGGCACGAAAGCGUGGGGAGCAAACAGGAUUAGAUACCCUGGUAAUCCACGCCGUAAACGAUGAAUACUAGGUG